ensembl:lincRNA
AUGUGGUGGCAGGCACCUGUAAUUGCAGCUAUUUGGGAGGCUGAGGCAGGAGAAUCGCUUGAACCUGCGUGCCAUCGCACUCCAGCAUGGGCAACAAUAGAAAGACUCCAUCUCAAAAAAAAAAAAAAAAAAAAAAAAGUAAACCUGGUUUCUCUUACCAUUCUCAGUAGGAGUGCUCUGCUGCAAGAUACUUCAUCUUUGGCUCCACACAAGAAAGAGCAGUGGACUUCAGGCCUCAUCAACUCCUCCCAGCCCUCCCGCUUUAUCUUGGACCUGCAGGCUCACUUACAGAUGACCUGCCCUUAUAAAGAACUUGCCUAACAUCUCAGCCCUGCCUUAAUGCCAGAAGAAUUGUCUUUCCUCACAAUCUCCCCACAUCUUAGUCCCAUUUGUUUCCAGAUCCCCAAACUAGCCUCUGUCUACAUCCCAGGCCAGGGUAAAUAAUACUUGGACUUUCUUUACUUUUCUCAAAAGCAGGAUUGCCUGCUUUCUAAAUCCUGUGAUUUUAUUUUGUGGUGGCUCCCACUCCUGUCUCCUUGUUAAAAUUCUGGAGUAAAUGCUGUGUCUGCUCCAAAUAAAUUAUGGAAGAAAACACAUUUGGACACUCACAGAUAUAUUGCAUUCUGUUUUUCCAUUUAUUCCUAAGAGAAAAGGUUUGAUAGCCCUCUCGUAGGUUGAAUUCUCCUCUAUGGAUUGUAAAUUAGUCAAUUUGUGACUAUUUUGCUAAGCAGAGUCAAAGAUCCCUAUUAAAAACAAUAAUGGUUGCUAUUUUAUAACUACGGUAUUUUGUGCUUCAGUUGCAUGGAUACCAGGGGUCUAAUCUAUGCCUGGUCUCAUUUAGCACUUAACAAUCCUGUGCAUACUGGGGACAGGGGCAGUAACUGUUGACUGCACUUUAUUUAAUCAGGAAACAGAAGCUAAGAGAUGUUAGAUUGUUCAUUAGUAAGUUAUAGAACUAAGAUUCAAAGUCAAGACUCUCCGACUGCAAAACUCUUGCUCUUCCUAAUACAGUUCUACCUCCUAACCCUUAAUUCUCAGUGUCUAAUGUUACAUAACUUCAAACCCUGGUCAGUCAUUGUAACUACCCAUGGGUCCCCAGAGAGAAUGUGGAUGUCUCAGGAUGGUCCAUCACCUUGACUGAACAGUUAAAAUGCAGUGACAACAUAGGACGUGUUUAGAGGCUGAUAAUAAAAUUUAAAAAUAUUAUGCCUUCUAUCAACAGAUGAAUGGAUAAGGAAAAUGUGGUCUAUGUACAUAAUAGAAUACUAGAUACCCUUUAAAAAGGAAAUUCUGGCUGGGUGCGGUGACACAAUGUAAUCCCAGCACUUUGGGAGGCCAAGGCAGGCGGACCAUCUGAGGUCAGGAGUUUGAGACCAGCCUGGCCAACAUGGUGAAACCCCAUCACUACUAAAAAUACAAAAAUUAGGCCAGGCACGGUGGCUUACGCCUGUAAUCCCAGCACUUUGGAAGGCUGAGGCCGGCAGAUCACAAGGUCAGGAGUUGAAGACCAGCCUGGCCAACAUAGUGAAACCCUGUCUCUACUAAAAAUACGAAACUUUGCCAGGCAUGGUGGUGCACACCUG